rnacentral:rRNA from 1 species
AUUGAACGCUGGCGGCAGGCCUAACACAUGCAAGUCGAACGGUAACAGGAAGCAGCUUGCUGCUUCGCUGACGAGUGGCGGACGGGUGAGUAGUGUCUGGGAAGCUGCCUGAUGGAGGGGGAUAACUACUGGAAACGGUAGCUAAUACCGCAUAAUGUCGCAAGACCAAAGAGGGGGACCUUCGGGCCUCUUGCCAUCGGAUGUGCCCAGAUGGGAUUAGCUUGUUGGUGGGGUAACGGCUCACCAAGGCGACGAUCCCUAGCUGGUCUGAGAGGAUGACCAGCCACACUGGAACUGAGACACGGUCCAGACUCCUACGGGAGGCAGCAGUGGGGAAUAUUGCACAAUGGGCGCAAGCCUGAUGCAGCCAUGCCGCGUGUAUGAAGAAGGCCUUCGGGUUGUAAAGUACUUUCAGCGGGGAGGAAGGGAGUAAAGUUAAUACCUUUGCUCAUUGACGUUACCCGCAGAAGAAGCACCGGCUAACUCCGUG